rnacentral:lncRNA from 1 species
GGAUGAGAAGAUUUAGAUAAAUAAGAAUGAAUAAAUAUGAAAAUGUUUGGAGAAUUAUGAUAAAUAAAAAUGUAAAAAAUAUCGUGAUGCAAGUAUUCCAUUUUCCUAUUAGAUAUGUGAUGAUUUUAAUACUUAUUCUCGUCCUAAACCCACAUUUAAUUGGUGGAGUGAUUCGGAUUUUUUCGAUUUUCAGAUUUUUUUUAACAUUUUAAAUUUUUUUUUUCACAUUUCGGAUUUUUCGGUUCGGAUCGAAUUUUAUCCAAAAUUUUUUGAAUUUUCAGAUUCGAAUUUUCGAAUAAUAUGGUUUGAAUCGGAUUGAAUUUUAAGGAAAUUUCGGAUUUUCGGAUUGGAUAGCAUCAGGCAAAAAUCCAA